CCGCCAAUGUCUUGACUUGGAUGAUGGUGCCUUAAACCCUCACCAGAGUACCAAUUGGAGGGCAAGUCUGGUGCCAGCAGCCGCGGUAAUUCCAGCUCCAAUAGCGUAUAUUAAACUUGUUGCAGUUAAAAAGCUCGUAGUUGAAUUUCAGCGUUUCCUUUUCUUUGCUUUGUCGCUUUGAUUUGGUUUCGCUUUUGUUUUUACUUUGAGAAAAUUAGAGUGUUUCAAGCAGACUUUUGUCUUGAAUACUUCAGCAUGGAAUAAUAGAGUAGGACCGUAGUCCUAUUUUGUUGGUUUUGUGGACUACUGUAAUGGUUAAUAGGAACGGUUGGGGGCAUUCGUAUUUGACUGUCAGAGGUGAAAUUCUUAGAUUUGUCAAAGACGAACUACUGCGAAAGCAUUUGCCAAGGACGUUUUCAUUAAUCAAGAACGAAAGUUAGGGGAAUCGAAGAAAGUUCCCUUAUUUUGGUUUGAGGCUUCGGGGUUCCCCCAACGAGACUUUGCCCUGUAUUGUUAUUUCUUGUCACUACCUCCCGUCACGGGGGGGGGGGUG
rnacentral:rRNA from 1 species